UACGUAGGGUGCAAGCGUUUAAUCGGAAUUACUGGGCGUAAAGCGUGCGCAGGCGGUUGUGCAAGACAGAUGUGAAAUCCCCGGGCUUAACCUGGGAACUGCAUUUGUGACUGCACGGCUAGAGUGUGUCAGAGGGGGGUAGAAUUCCACGUGUAGCAGUGAAAUGCGUAGAUAUGUGGAGGAAUACCGAUGGCGAAGGCAGCCCCCUGGGAUAACACUGACGCUCAUGCACGAAAGCGUGGGGGAGCAAACAGG
rnacentral:rRNA from 1 species